rnacentral:rRNA from 2 species
GUCUAAGUAUAAGCAACUAUACGGUGAAACUGCGAAUGGCUCAUUAAAUCAGUUAUCGUUUAUUUGAUAGUACCUUACUACAUGGAUAACCGUGGUAAUUCUAGAGCUAAUACAUGCUAAAAACCCCGACUUCGGAAGGGGUGUAUUUAUUAGAUAAAAAACCAAUGCCCUUCGGGGCUUCUUGGUGAUUCAUAAUAACUUAACGAAUCGCAUGGCCUUGCGCCGGCGAUGGUUCAUUCAAAUUUCUGCCCUAUCAACUUUCGAUGGUAGGAUAGUGGCCUACCAUGGUAUCAACGGGUAACGGGGAAUUAGGGUUCGACUCCGGAGAGGGAGCCUGAGAAACGGCUACCACAUCCAAGGAAGGCAGCAGGCGCGCAAAUUACCCAAUCCCGACACGGGGAGGUAGUGACAAUAAAUACUGAUACAGGGCUCUUUUGGGUCUUGUAAUUGGAAUGAGUACAAUCUAAAUCCCUUAACGAGGAACAAUUGGAGGGCAAGU